rnacentral:rRNA from 1 species
GUCGGGUUGUUGCUGGCUCCUCGGGGCAAUGUGCACGCCUGCCAUCGUUUUCAACCACCUGUGCACCUUUUGUAGACUUUGGAUACCUUUCGGGGGGUCAAACCCUCGGCUUGAAGGGCUGCCGGUGCUCCAAAAGGGCCCGGCUUUCCUUGCAUUUCCGGUCUAUGCAUUUUAUAUACUCCGUAAAGAAUGUAUUAGAAUGUCUUGUUAUUGGCCUCAGCGCCUUUAAUCAAAUACAACUUUCAGCAACGGAUCUCUUGGCUCUCGCAUCGAUGAAGAACGCAGCGAAAUGCGAUAAGUAAUGUGAAUUGCAGAAUUCAGUGAAUCAUCGAAUCUUUGAACGCACCUUGCGCUCCUUGGUAUUCCGAGGAGCAUGCCUGUUUGAGUGUCAUUAAAUUCUCAACCUAACCAGCUUUUUGUGAGCUUGGGAUAGGCUUGGAUUGUGGGGGUUUCUUGCGGGCUUCGUCCAGAAGUCAGCUCCCCUUAAAUGCAUUAGUGGAACCUUCUGUUGACCUGUUUCCUGGUGUGAUAAUUAUCUACAUCGUGCGCAGUCAGCUAUCUAACGGGUUUCUGCUUCCAACUCGUUAUCACCCUUCAUUUGGGGGAUGCUUUUGACCAUUUGACCUCAAAUCAGG